CCUACGGGAGGCAGCAGUGGGGAAUAUUGCACAAUGGGGGAAACCCUGAUGCAGCAACGCCGCGUGAGUGAUGACGGCCUUCGGGUUGUAAAGCUCUGUCUUCAGGGACGAUAAUGACCGUACCUGAGGAGGAAGCCACGGCCAACCACGUGCCAGCAGCCGCGGGAAUACGUCGGUGGCGAGCGUUGUCCGGAUUUACUGGGCGUAAAGGGAGCGUAGGCGGAAUUGUAAGUGAGAAGUGAAAUACCCGGGCUAAACUUGGGUGCUGCUGUUCAAACUGGUAGUCUAGAGUGCAGGAGAGGUGAAUGGAAUUCCUAGUGUAGCGGUGAAAUGCGUAGAGAUUAGGAGGAACACCAGUGGCGAAGGCGGUUCACUGGACUGUAACUGACGUUGAGGCUCGAAAGCGUGGGGAGCAAACAGGAUUAGAUACCCUAGUAGUC
rnacentral:rRNA from 1 species